UACGAAGGGGGCUAGCGUUGCUCGGAAUUACUGGGCGUAAAGCGCACGUAGGCGGUCUUUUAAGUCGGGGGUGAAAUCCUGGAGCUCAACUCCAGAACUGCCCUCGAUACUGGAAGACUUGAGUCCGGGAGAGGUGAGUGGAACUGCGAGUGUAGAGGUGAAAUUCGUAGAUAUUCGCAAGAACACCAGUGGCGAAGGCGGCUCACUGGCCCGGUACUGACGCUGAGGUGCGAAAGCGUGGGGAGCAAACAGG
rnacentral:rRNA from 1 species